CGCGUAGGCGGCUUGGUAAGGGGGCGGUGAAAGCCCGGGGCUCAACCCCGGGUCUGCCGGACCGACUGCCGAGCUUGAGCACACUAGGGGCAGGUGGAAUUCCGGGUGUAGCGGUGGAAUGCGUAGAGAUCCGGAAGAACACCGGUGGCGAAGGCGGCCUGCCGGGGUGUGGCUGACGCUGAGGCGCGACAGCGUGGGGAGCAAACAGGAUUAGAUACCCUGGUAGUCCACGCCGUAAACGAUGGGCACUAGGUGCUCGGGGGAGCGACCCCUUGGGUGCCGGCGCUAACGCAUUAAGUGCCCCGCCUGGGGAGUACGGCCGCAAGGCUGAA
rnacentral:rRNA from 1 species